CUCAGCUGCAAAAAAAGUGGUUGUUUAGCCGUGCAAACUAUCACCAGAAGAUUUGCGGUACUGAGUAAGCUCUUCGUUCACACGAGCAAGAAGUCUUUCAGACUGUGACAACCUCUUGGUAAAUCUGACGUUACCCAAAUUUUGAGCUCCCUUAUCCUGUAAUCCACAAAAUAAAAUGCUCAUAACUGAAAAGGAAUGUUUCAUUUUAGAAUGAUAAAGUAGACCCUACUAAAGAUAGAAAAUGCAAGUAGACCUUAGUCUUUGAUGAUUGUGGGACAUGUUGAGAAUUUCGUGUCCCAACUAGUGUUUUAACCAUGUCAUCCAAUUCUGCAAUCUUCCUAAUCAGAUUGGUCUUGUCCAUCUACAACAAUUGACAGGAAAAAGAUCAUAAACAGAUUGAUUUUUUUUUUAAUUCUUAUGUGGUAAAAACCAGAUCAUAGUGAUGUGUUGCUCCCUAGUAGUACCUUCAGCAUUCCAUUUUGUGCAGAAAGCAACUGAUCUCGCUCUUGGAGUAGUUGAACUGCAAUCUGAGUAGCAAGCAUAUCUGCCUCUUUAGUUCUCAGGUUUGAUAUGCAGCUGAGUCACAUAUUAAAUACGGUUAGAAUAGAAAUGAAAUUUGAGUUCAAUUUCAGAGUAUUAAGUCGUUCUAAAUCUUGAAAUAGCAUGGACGCAGAUUUCAGAGAACAUUAAAGAACCGAAAAUUUGGAAUGUAACUUAACACAUAAGACAUCUCUAAUAU
rnacentral:lncRNA from 1 species